CGUUACGACCACACCGGCCUGAGUACGCCUGAUCUCGUCUGAUCUCGGAAGCUAAGCAGGGUCCGGCCUGGUUAGUACUUGGAUGGGAGAACGCCUGGGAAUACCAGGUGCUGUAAGAU
rnacentral:rRNA from 1 species